rnacentral:lncRNA from 1 species
UUGUGUUAAAGACUUGAGUCUUGAAAUGCCAGGUGGGAACGUGGAAUUAAAAGAGUUGUGACUAAUGUCAAGAGUUUUAAGGAAAGGAAAUUCGAAAAGGACUGUUUGGAGAGGACCAUAAAAGGAAUUUCCACUUAAAUUAAUGUGGUGAAGGUGUACUAAGUUUCUGAUAUCUGUUGGAAUUGUACCAGAAAGAUUUCGGGAAUUUCCACUUAAAUUAAGGUGGUGAAGGUGUACUAAGUUUCUGAUAUCUACUGGAAUUGUACCAGAAAGAUUUUUCCUUGAGAGAUCAAGUGAUGUGAUUUGGCUUGUUUUUUUGUCACAUUUGAUGCCAGACCAAGAAC